CUUGAUCAAAAUAUGAGAGGUCCAGCCUGCCCAGUGACCUAGUUCAACGGCCACGGUAUCCUGACCGUGCGAAGGUAGCGUAAUCACUUGUUCUUUAAAUGGGGACUAGUAUGAAUGGCAUCACGAGGGUUAAACUGUCUCCUUUUUCUAAUCAGUGAAAUUAAUCUCCCCGUGAAGAAGCGAGGAUAACUUUAUAAGACGAGAAGACCCUAUGGAGCUUAAAACGAAUUUACACCUGCUUUUUAUUUAUUUUACUUCCCGAAUUUACACAAACAUUAUAGCACAAUUGACAUGUAGUUUUCGAUUGGGGUGAUCCUGGGGUAAAAAAUAACCCCCAGGACGACAAAGGGCCACCCUUGAGCCAAAAGCCACAACUUUAAGCACUAAAAAAUUAACGCAACUUGACCCAAUUAUUUGAGCAACGAAC
rnacentral:rRNA from 2 species